rnacentral:tRNA from 1 species
GACCCCUUCGUCUAGUGGACCAGGACUCCAGAUUUUCAUUCUGGCAACAGGGGUUCGAUUCCCCUAGGGGUCGCCA